rnacentral:rRNA from 1 species
CGGUUGAUCCUGCCAGAGGCCGCUGCUCUCUUGCUGGGACUAAGCCAUGCUAGUCUAGGGGCUUGUACUCCUUCGGGGGUGCAAGCACCGGCGGACGGCUCAGUAACACGUGGACAACCUGCCCUCGGGUGGGGGAUAACCCCGGGAAACUGGGGCUAAUCCCCCAUAGGUGAUGGGUGCUGGAAUGCCCCAUCUCCGAAAGCGCUUAGCGCCCGAGGAUGGGUCUGCGGCGGAUUAGGUAGUUGGUGGGGUAACGGCCCACCAAGCCUAAGAUCCGUACGGGCUGUGGGAGCAGGAGCCCGGAGAUGGACCCUGAGACAAGGGUCCAGGCCCUACGGGGCGCAGCACGCGCGAAACCUCCGCAAUGCGGGAAACCGCCACGGGGUUAGCCGG